CGCGAAGAACCUUACCAAGGCUUGACAUAUACAGGAAAAGCGUAGGAAUACGCUCCCCGCAAGGUCUGGUAUACAGGUGGUGCAUGGUUGUCGUCAGCUCGUGUCGUGAGAUGUUGGGUUAAGUCCCGCAACGAGCGCAACCCUCGUCCUAUGUUGCCAGCACGUAAUGGUGGGAACUCAUGGGAGACUGCCGGGGUCAACUCGGAGGAAGGUGGGGAUGACGUCAAAUCAUCAUGCCCCUUAUGUCUUGGGCUUCACGCAUGCUACAAUGGCCAGUACAAAGGGCUGCGAUACCGCAAGGUGGAGCGAAUCCCAUAAAGCUGGUCUCAGUUCGGAUUGAGGUCUGCAACUCGACCUCAUGAAGUCGGAGUCGCUAGUAAUCGUAGAUCAGCAACGCUACGGUGAAUACGUUCCCGGGCCUUGUACACACCGCCCGUCAAGUCACGAAAGUC
rnacentral:rRNA from 1 species